rnacentral:lncRNA from 1 species
AACAGAGAGUGGUUGCGCUUUCUGCUCUGGCUUGCCUCAGCUAUUCCCCCGCAGCUCGCGUCGGCGUGCUCGUCGGGGCCAUGGCCUCAGCUCACCCCUGGCCUGCUUGCUUGCUUGCCGCCGCUCGCCUCUGUCCAGUCACCGGAGCUUGCCUCCAGUGGUGCAACCUCCAACUCCACCGCUGCCGCCGUCGAGCCGCCACAACUCCGGCUGCGAAACUGUGAACCAGCUAGAUCUGGCGAGGACCGAGGUCGCCCCGGGACGGAUUCAACGGGAACAGGUAAGCUGUUGGCUAGCCUACUAUUGCAACCAUAAUCAUCUCAUUCUUCCCACGGAAUAAAAUGCAUACACACAUAUGACAUAUCAUUCUGCAAUCACAUUGAUGAAUUGGGCAUCACACACACACACACACACACACACACACACACACACACACACACACACACACAUGCGCAGCUUAAUUCGCUCCUUGGAUCUGCGCGAUAGAACAAAUCAGGUAGGAGUAGGCUAUUACCGACAGUACCAGAAGAUCGGUGACUCGUUUUACCAGUAGCGAGUGGUUCAUGAGUUCGAGCAGCAUGGCCGAGACGCCGGCAUAUCUGGAGCAGCAGACAAGUGUGGAGUGAGUAUCGAGUUUUUCAUACUUUCUACUUGCGCUUUCAUACUUUCUCUCUCAGGAUCACCAGCUUCUGAUCCACUCCGUGGAUUCUCCGUGACCAAACCGCAAGUUCAUGUUCGUCUUCAUGGCGACGAGAUCCAGCUCCAGUCUUCGCAUUGCCAGGAGAAGACCCCACAUGGUGGACUUAUUUAGCGCCACUGCUGAGUUCACUGCAUUCGCUGUGUCCACCUUCCCUUCCUGCCUGAUCAUCUCCACCAGAUGGUUCAUCGUCGCCUCCACUCCCCCAGCUGUGAAAGCUUCCUCUCCUUGGGUGCUUUCUUUCCUCUUUGCAUCGCAAUCAGCAGCUUCAGGCCAGCAACUGCAUCCAUCUUGAUUGAAUGGCCAUCUUCUCAUUUCUGUCCUUCCUGUAUCUGUAACCACUGCCCAUGUUUCUGCUUCACCUGCAAGUUCCCCAACUGCUACCGCCAUAGCGGAACUCGCCUACAAGAGAAACUGGAACAUAAGCAGCAUACGAGGUACCAUACAAAAAGAAGAAGAAGAAAAGAAAAAAAGAACAGGUCAAUUGUUUAGCUCAUAAUGUCACACAACACAUGAGACCAAUUUAGUUAGCACGACAAAUAUUGAUUUCGCAAGGACCACUUUGCCAUUCUUCACCUAAACACGAGCAUAAAAGAUAAGCAGAUAUUUAGUUUCAGAGCUACCAGACGCAGCCUCUUCCCACUCUCCACCAGUGCGACAGCAACAGUAUUUUGCAGCUGCGGGGGAUACCAUUUUGCUGGUCCGUCAGUCACUCUCUUGCUCUUGGCCUACAUGUCACAUAACAUAAAAUUCAGUUUCUUUUCCUCGCAUCUAAAAACUACUAUUAACAAGUGGAAACAUAGCAGCAGCAAUGUGGUGCCAAUUCAAACUGUUUUUUUUUGCGGGGGGCAAUUCAAACUGNNNNNNNNNNNNNNNNNNNNNNNNNNNNNNNNNNNNNNNNNNNNNNNNNNNNNNNNNNNNNNNNNNNNNNNNNNNNNNNNNNNNNNNNNNNNNNNNNNNNNNNNNNNNNNNNNNNNNNNNNNNNNNNNNNNNNNNNNNNNNNNNNNNNNNNNNNNNNNNNNNNNNNNNNNNNNNNNNNNNNNNNNNNNNNNNNNNNNNNNNNNNNNNNNNNNNNNNNNNNNNNNNNNNNNNNNNNNNNNNNNNNNNNNNNNNNNNNNNNNNNNNNNNNNNNNNNNNNNNNNNNNNNNNNNNNNNNNNNNNNNNNNNNNNNNNNNNNNNNNNNNNNNNNNNNNNNNNNNNNNNNNNNNNNNNNNNNNNNNAAAGAGCAGAUUCGUGAGCUAAAUAAUGGUAGAUGCAAGGGGAACCCAACAGGUGCGUUAAAAUUAGUUCUUCAUAUCAGCAUAUUACACCGGAACAGAAUAACCAUAGGCACCACAGGGUUCCACGCGUAUCAUAAUUCUCAUUGUAUUACAAUGCAAUAUUGGCAUGUCAAGUUCCCAUGACAAAGAUGUAGCCCCAAACUUGAUGCAAGAGGAUCCCGAAAUACUAAUUUGGAUGCACUUCUUAUUUGAAGAAUUUUGCAAGUAUGGAUCAAUGCAUAGUGAAAACUAGCUUAAGUAACUUUAUGACCACAAGAUAGAUAGGAACUAUACAUGUUAUAGUACCUUCAGACAAUAUCAACUAAGAAAGUACAAAUUGAAAGGACAACUAAAUAUGUCAGGCGGCUUUUACUGUCAGAAAAGAAAAUUAAAAUACAAAAAAUAAGGUGACAGAGCAUUGCAACUUUUUUUAAAAAUUGCUUUGUGAUCAACUUUUGGUCUAAGUUUUAUCAACACUCUUUUCCGUCCAGCAUCUGCACUAUUAUCCUGAAAACUCAAAUGUGCAUUGUGGUAUAAGAACAAGGGUGGAUGGCCCAAAAAAAGCUCUUAGAUAAUGAAACAGAUUGCUCCCCUGGCCUCUGCAUCAACAAAUGCACACGCACAGCCCAACAAACUACAUCACAUAUGUUGAUAAACCUUGGAAGUAAAAGCAUUUCGUUGAUUACAGUAUAAAAAUAUUUUUAUUAAUAUCAACUGAAAAGCUCAUCUCCUUUUUGAGCUUCCAGUUUCAUAAGUUAUACAGAAGAGCGAACUGAAUUUAACUGUGCUAAAAUUAGAAGAAGAAAAAAAGCAUUACUUAUUUAUGCAUAGAACUUAAACAGCAUCUUAUAAUGAACGGAUCCAGUUGUUUACCUCUGCAACAUCACAGGGCUUCUUGGCCUCAACAAGAAUAAAUUCUCUCACGUGAUCAAGUGAGAGAGCUGAGAGUAUUAGCACGUUGGUACCAGUAUUUUGCAGAUCAGUGAAGUUUUCCAUUAAGCAGAAAGCUACAUGGCUCCCAACCUGAAAUGCAGUUAAACAGAUUAGCAUCUAGCUACCAAAAGCUAUCAACAUUGUAAAGUCGAACAUCUGAGAAUCACAAACCAAGCUUUUGGCCCUCCAGGCAAUAGGCUCUUUUGCUGACCUAGCUAUGGUAAAACCACCAUCAAAUUCUCUGCUAGAGCCACCAUAAGCAGUGUAUUUCACAUGAUUAGCACAUUGGUGCUUGAUAUGUUCUUUAAGUUCAUCACUGUGCAGCUGCACUUCCUUUAAAUGUCCAAAAAAUGGAAGAGGGGGCAACCUUUCAGUUCUUUUCAGAUCGGUAUUUUCUGUCCUUUCCUCAGUAAAGAAGCCUACAGUAUUCACCAGCAAGAUGAUAUCAACAGCAGAUUCAAAGAAUCAUCAGGAGAUAAUUGCCUUACAACUAGCUAAUGUAUACCACACAGAAAAACAAAUCAAUUGUAGAGCUCGAAAUGACAAACAGAUCAUCAACAAAUGAACACUAUAGUCAUUGUGUGGUUACCCUUCACCUAAAUAGGAGAAUAAAUUAUAUGCUUGUAGAACAUCUACAAUUGAGUAGAAUAAGUAAAUUAUUUGGCUUUAAGACUACGAGAUGCAGACUUUAUCUCACUUACCACCAGUGCUACAAGACGUGUCAUUGGCCCUGAUAUAACUAACAUCUUCAACAGCAACAGUCGAGGCCAUCUUGCUCGCCCAGGCAUAACUUAUUUGUCCUUGGUCUACAAGAUACAUGUCAGUACAAAACCAUGGGUGAGAAACUGAUAAUCAAUAUGUAUAUGGACAAGAUCUGUACCAUGAUGUUGUUGUUGUUGCUGUUCGUUGAACGCCGAUGAGCUAUCAAGAACCCAGUUGGGAUAUUUUGGAGUAGAAGAGCUGGAGCCACUUGCAUGCAUGUCUCUGUCGGGAGCUGGAUCUUCUCCUUCCUGGUCCCCGUGCCUAAGCUCAUCCACACCAUUCAACUUAAUUGGCAUCGAAUCAUCAUUGACUGGUGUACAAUCUUGAUCACCUCGGUAAAGAACCCUUACAACCUGAAGCAGCUCAGAAGCUGAGGUCGGACUAGUAUCAUGCUGGAUUUGGUAAGGUUCAUUUUUCUCAAUGGAGUUGAUUGCUCGUGUAGAACACCUUUGCCAUUUUUUCAUAAGUCCAACAGGGCCAGUCCCUAGGUAAUUUGUGGCAAGGACCGAGGGGUCAUAGCUACCCAAGACAAGAUCCUUUACUUCAUCAUUCCGGACAGUGUCCCAAAGAUGAACAACAAAUAUGGUAAAGGCUUCAUCAAUGUCUCCGUGAUCCCCACUUUCAUCAGUAACAACGUUAUAUACAGAAUCAAAUGACCGCCUAAGCCACCACGGGCCAAGCUUUGUUUUUUCUACACCUGGCAUAUAAUUUCCUUUAGAUUUUAGUACAGCCUUUGGACGGUCUGUCAGGAUGUAGGUCGCCUUUUUAUCAUCAGAUUGAGAAUCUUGAAACUCGGCGACAUGUUUCUUCGUGAUGACCCCCUUCAACCAGCUUUGAGAUGCUAUUCCAACUAAGCACAUCCAGUUAUUUCUGUACUUCACAUACUGAAAAUAGGUCCCAGAUUUUGGAACUUGCCAUGACAUUGAUCCAUGUGGAGAUUUGUAUAUUUUGUCAGUAUUGGCAUACGUCCAGAACCUAUGCGAGCCAAUGCAGUCCUUCAUAUUCUGCUGCAGAUCAGCUAGAUUCUUAAGAUCAAGGUUCAGUACUGAGAAAUUCUGCACAAAAUUGUACAUGAAAAGAAAUAGUUCGUAAAAAUCAAAUUAAUACAGAACAGAGAAGCCUGAGACAACUAUUCAACACAAAUAAGUAGAGUAUGAGGCAGUGUCAGACAACCAUUUUAGACAAAUAAGUGGAGUUUCCGGCACAAUGUCUGACAACUAUUCCAGACAAAUAAGGGGAGUAUCCAGCACAAUGUCGGACAAGUAUUCCAGGGAAAUAAGUGGGUAUCCAGCACAAUGUCAGACAACUAUUCCAGGCAAAUAAGGGGAGUAUCCACAACAAUGUCAGACAACUAUUCCAGACAAAUAAGUAUGUCAGACUGAAAAGCCCAAACACAUGAACAAAUCAUAUGGACUGACUGGGUUUAUUGCAGAUUAGUGAUGUGGCAACAAACUUACCACUGGAUUGGCGAAAUUUGAUAUAUCGGGGCCUGCGCUAGGCCUUCCAUUAUGAUCCAAAAUCCUAGGUGUGUCCGGCACAAUAUUAGAGUCAGACUUGCUCCUUCCCUGUAGAGCAGUUUGCUUCUUUGGUCUUGACAUAUCCUCCUUCAGUCCUUGGACAUUUCAACAACAUUAUAAGAAGAACAUGAUGUAAACAGUGUAUUCUCAGCCAACAGUUAAAGCAAGUAACGAAAUGUAGCAUGUAUGUAACUUGAAUAAAAUGGAGAAACAGACAAAACAUAAAAAUCAAUUCUCAUGCAUAAUUAACUCCACUGAAUGUUUGUUAACAUCAAACUACUCAAAUGCCCCAAAACAAAUUCUCGGGCAUAAUUUGUUGGGCAGGGACGCGAAGCAACGGGUUUGAAUCUGGCUUCUAGCGGUGAAUCAGGGUGCCCAGGGCCUUCCCUCCAGAGCAGGCCCUGGAGGUAACUCCCUAAAUUUUAGGAAACAUAAGAUCUGGCUUCACCUGCGAGCAAAUUCAGGGACGCCUAAACCCUCCCCACCCAAAAUCGACCGCCACCACCACCCUUCCUCGAAAUUGCACAGGGAAUGCGCCCAAAAUCGACUGACCAUGAAAUUAUAAUACCUGCACAACAAUAUAUGGGCAACCAUCGCAACGAACAAUGCAGGCUGGACUGAAGGACGAAAAGUUGCAAAAAAGGGAGGGGGGAGGGGCAGGGUGGGGGAAGGAGAGAGACCUUUGCCGGUGCUCUUCGAGCUCUCCCAAGACGAAGCUGGGCAAGCACGAGCCAGAUCUAGCGACAAAAUGCAGCUUCUUCCCCAAUCACCUCCACGGGGACCGAACCCUGAUCGCGAACUGAGUUCUUCGCCUCACCUCUCUCCCUCGUGGCCUCGUCGGUUCGCGGCGAGGGUUUUGGUUUUGGACUGGAGUGGCCGAGCCUGCGCUGCGCCUGCCAGUCUGCUAAUGCCUACAGAGAGCUUUCGCACCAAGAAACACGGGGCGCUAAUCUCGAAGCAUAGAGCGGGGAUGUUUCUUCGCUCUCUUCCUCGUCAUACCUGGCCAACGGGCUGGCCCAGCCCGCGCCCCACCCAUAAACAGGCCUGACACGGCAUGUCACAUGGAGGCCCGUUAAUAAGCAGGCCUUGCGCCGUGCCGGUAUGUGUGCCUCACCCGCAGCCCAGGCAUGUCACGCAUGGUAAACGGGUUGUGCUCUUCGACCAUCUGGGCUAUUUUAGGCCCAUAGUUUUAGGGAAAAACUAACCAAAAAAUAAAUGGGUCAUGUGGGCCCCGCCCCAAUGGACGCGCAACCCAGGCGUGUUGCGGGCCAUGCAUGGCCCGUUUAGCCACGUGUCAGGCCAGGCAUGUUACGAGCUGAGCACGCAUUUUGCUGGGCCAGCUGGUUGAGCACAAUACUAGUGCUGAAGGGAGACAUUACUUAGGUCACGCAAUAAGCAAGCCACAACACAAAUAGAUCGUGUAUCUUUUCCCCUCUGGUUAGGGUUUUCUUUCUCUCGGGGCGAUGUACCGCCAUCGUGAGUUUUGGUGUCCCUGCCAUCGACUUCCCCCAUUGUCGAUCGCGUCCAUUGUGAUAUUCGGAUCGCGGCGGGCCACAACGGUCAGGAGACGCGGAGAAUUAGGGUUAUCUCAAGGGCCCAGUCAAUCUUCAUCAGCAAGAUAUCUCACAUGGCUUCGGUUGGUGCCUCUGGUCGAGCAGCUGAUGCAAGAGCUUGGAUUACGAGGAAGAUCUCGAUGAUGUUGUUUUCGAUGAGAAGACAACACCGGAGGAUGCGGCUCGUUGGGUAGAUGUGGCUAGGGUUCACCAGAGAAAACCUAUAGCCAAACCUGGUUCUAACGGAAUAUGAGAUCAACAUGGGAUUUAGCGCAAGAUGCAAAGUUUAAGCCACUAGAUUCAAACCCCUACACAUGGGAGAUUGGGGGAGGGUUAUGCAAGAAGGACUGUAGCACUUUCGAGGAGAUGCGGUGAUCAUGAAGCCUUAUGACAGAGUGAUGAAGCCAUCCACGAUCAAACUAGAUACAAUCUCCUAACACUGCUUGCGGCAAAGGUAGGAGAAGUCAUGUUUGUUGAGCCCCCAUCUCAAGAUUUUGCCGAAAAUUUCUAUCGCGUUUGGGUUAGAAUCAAUGUCAUGAAGUCGUUGAAGAACGCAGUGUCAAUAAUCUGGGAUAGCAAACGUUAGAUCUAUAAAGUGAAGUAUGAAAGUUGUCUGACUGGUGUGCGGUCUGUGGAAUGCUUGGUCAUCUUCACGAGGAACAUAGAAGAGGAAUUCCCCCUCCGUCGGCCCUGGUUUUUAAAGAUUUGUGUGCAUCAUGGUUUAUGUGUACUAGUCGGGGUCCAGAAGGGGGACGAGGCCGGCGUGGUGGUUAGUGGGGUCGAGGCGGCCAUAGUGGCGGCCGUGGCAGUAAUUACAAUUCCAAUAAUUUUCCAGAUGGGGCGACAGAGCUAGAGGUGUUGGGGAAGGUUGCAUGGAAAACAAAAAAAAUCUACGCACACGCAAGAUUUAUCCAUGGAGAUGCAUAGCUACGAGAAGGGGAGAGCAUCUACAUACCCUUGUAGAUCGCUAAGAGGAAGAGUUUAUCAACGCGGUUGAUGUAGUUGUACACCUUCACGAUCCGUACCGAUCAAGCACUAGUACGCGUCGGUGCUAUACAAACGGUUCUAAACCCCUUUCCGCGACGGCAUUUGGAACCGUCGCCUAGUGAGUGUGGGCGGUUAGGGGGUCCUUUCCACACGACCCAGAAACCGUCCGGGAUAUGCCCUCCUGGCACACACGCUCGGCAAAAUGAGGUCGUGUGCGACCGGCGAGCGACCAAAUAUGUUAUACAUACAGUAGUGCUCAAAAAAAUACAAUUAUACAGGCGAAAUCAUUUCCAGUCGUAAGUACACCCCAUACAGUUAGUCCCCGCGAAACAUUUCUGUUCGUAUAUACAUCCCACAUAGUCGCUGCAAGGAAAACGUUUCCGUUCGUAUGUACAUCACACACAAUUUUCCUCGUUAUCGUUUGUGAUGGUGUUCCCAUCGCACACAAUAUUAAAAAAAAUAUCGUUUGCGUUAUUGAAUGCAUCACACACGGUGCGUAGAAGAAACUGUGUGGCAAAGGUUAUCCAUCACACACAGUUUUUAUGCAGUAAACGUUUGUGCAAGAUGGCCUAACGCAAACAGUUUUGAAGAGAAUGUCGUGUGUGAUUGUUCAUCGAUCCAACACGGUUUAUUCCUAGAAAUUGUGUGCGUUGCCUUAGGUCAUAGCCCAAGGUAUUUUCUUAAUAACCGUUUGCUAUAGCAAAAACCAAUUAGCAGGCUAAUUCGUCAUUAGCAAGCUAAUUGCCCUAUUAUUAAUAAUUCAUUUAUUAAUCUAAUUGACAUUCAUAUUAAACACAUGAUAUAUUUCAUUCCCAUAUUAAGGAUGCAGGAUUUCAUAAUUGAAAUACAUCAGAGUAUAACAUGAUAGCUUCAGCACUCAGCUACCCUAUUACAUAACUGCACCAGCACCAAGUUUCACAUGACCUUUCGAAAUUAGCAUCAUAGACGGUACAUAGACAGAUGCAUCUCAUCAGAAAAACUGCUGAAGCGGAAGGCGAAUAUUAAGCCUUCAUUGAUGUUGAAGGUCUUUGCAACUUUAGGCUAGUGCUUGUGGAUGAUUGACCGUCCAUCCUUCGUCCUCUUCAGGAACACUUCAAUAUUGAACCGUCGGUGUUGUAUGAAAACCUUCCUCGCCUCCUGACCAUGGAGGUGGUUUGAGAGGUAAUCAUCAGUGAACUGCUUUGGAAAGGCCUGAAAACAAGGAUGUGCAUAAAUAUCUUCUCUAUAUUGGAAAUGGGGUAAAUGAAUAAAAAAAGGCAAGGUAUAAUAGUUAGUGCCAUCUUGUAGUGAACUGAUGUCUUCUUCAU